rnacentral:lncRNA from 1 species
GGCUUAGGGUUUUGAGGAUGUUGGAGAAGUUGUUGCUGGACAUAUCAAAGGCCCUUUUGAGAGUGGACAUGAGAUGGGGAGGGAGGCCAUUGGUGGUAUGGUAGUGAGGUGGGAGUUCAGGCAAGUCAUCAUGUGGAAGAUGGAGUUCCACAAAUUCAAUGCAAUGAGAAUAUUUUUGGGAGAGUUUAGGCUUGAUGGAGCUGAGAUUUACAGGCGUGGAACAAAUAAAGAUGUGAAAAUUUCUCUUGGUGGUCAGCUUCUUGGCUAGCUCUAGGUAGGGAGAUAUAUGGCCGUGAGCUAGCCAUGGAAGCAUAAGAAUAGUAAGUUUUCUUUGGUCAGAGUAAACCAUAUUUUGUUUUCCUUUCACUCUUUUGCUUGAGGUUGCUCGAUUAUAGGCUUAUUGGUAGUUUUUUUGUAGCUAGCUCUAUGCAUAUAUAUAUAUAUAUACACACACAUUCAUGGGAAAAGAGGCUUGGGGAUGGGAAAUCAAUUGAUUUCCUAUGUUUGGUAAAGUUCGGGUAUGAGAAAUCGUUGCUUUGCACAUGAGAAAGUAGAGGGGAAAGUGAAGCCCUCCUCCUUCCUUAGGUUUUGUUUUCCUCCUCAUGGGAAAGUUUGGGAAAAUGAGCUAAUAUUAAAUACAUAUUUUUCAUGACCAUAUUAUCCCCAUUAAUAAUUUAGAAUUACAUAAAUGCAUUCUAUUUUUAUUUGAUUUCAUAUGGGUAUAAUUGAAAAAUUAAACAAAUUUUGUUUUACAUUCCUACACAAACCAAACAUGUGAAAGGAAAUAAAGUGGUAUUUCUUGGUUACUUUCCCAAGAUUACCAAACAUAGGAAAGGAAUCUCUAUUUCCCAUCCCUUAGAAAAUGACUUGGAAAGUAAUUUCUCCUCAAAUUCGUUCCGUGAACCAAACGGAACCUGCAUAAUAGAAGUUCCAAAAAAACACGUGAUGAUUGGAUCAUGCAUAUGUAAGUUCCCGAGUGAUGAUUGGAACAAGUUCCUAAUGAUAAAGACUCGAAACAAGAAUAGUUUAAACUUUCUUCUUUGUUUGGCUUGAUAUAAGACGAAUGCACCAAACAAACCGACUAAUUGCUGGCACAAUAUAAAUUGGGGCUACAAUUACCUAAUAAUUAGGUACUAAGGGCUACAAUUACCUAAUAAUAUCAACUUUCAUUAUACAGAUUUGAGAAACAAAAAGUUCAACUUUGAUGACAAGCGAUAUUAAAGGAGGGCGUAAUCAAACUUAGGAUCUUGAGUGUAGAAAUAAAUACUUUUAACAACUUGAGCUACAAGCCUUUUGUAAUAUUAAUGAUAUUUUAAUUAUACGUUUGAAUAGUUCGCUUCCUUCUCUUUUAUUUUCAUUUGUUUAUAUUUAACUCUAAUUUUAUUUAUAUUUUUGGUCAAGGUAAAAAGACUUUGAAUCUCUCUCCAAUGAUUUUCACAGCCGAAACUCCUUUAGUUUCCACAAAUAUUUUUUAAUAUUUCAUGCAUUUGUAAGUUUCCGACUCGGAUGGUUCAUGUAACCAAGAAGUUUAAACUUGUUUUUGCUUGUUCCGCCGACGAAAGCGCAACAAAAGGACAAACUACAACCAAUACUUCUAGUAUCACCAGUUCUCAUUGAAUUUGUUGCCGUGAAUGUUUAGGAUUCUGCCCAAACUAGUAUUUGCGUUUCUGAAUUGUUUGAAAACACAUAUGAAAUUAUGAUUUCUCCUCCCCAGAAGACAAAUUGACGAAGAAGUAUCAUGAUUUUGAUGACACAAAUUAGAAUCCAGGGUUUUCGAAGUGCCUAAUGGACAACUAUUAAUUUAGAAAUAUAUAUAUUUUUUUCGCAAUGCAGAAACACAUAAAUCCCAAGUUUGAAUUCAUCCUAUUUUUGUUUUUGUUUUUUCCUUUUUUAACCCAGAAGAAAAAUUGAGUGCCACUCUGCUAUGUAGAAUGCAAGUUUUAGUUUAGAUUUUUUUUUCUUUUUAGUCUCUUAUUCUACAUUUAGAUCUCAUAUAUUUACUCGCAUUUUAUUAAAUCUAAGUCAUUCAAACAAUCUGACCACUUAACAAAUUACAAGUACUCAAACUUAAAAUCAGAUUGGAUGGACAUGAGGCUUACACUGAUGAUUCUACACGUGCUGAGAAUAGUCCUUUUAUUUCUUUAUUAUUUUCUUGGUCGGGACUCGAGAGACAGGUGUAGUGUAGCGAUGGAGACGAGGCCCGCAAGACAUAAAAGUCUGAAGAAGAGAAGCGUGAAAGCUUCAUUUAGACAGUUAAGUGCAUACGUAACGUAAAGAUUCAAAGACUAUGUCCCUCUCCAAACAGGGAAAGAUCUGAGUUGAAAGCAACAAACUACAGUCACAAUAGGAAAGCAUCUACAACGUAAAGAAAAUAAGUUUACCAGAAGCAUCGGAAAGAUCUAGAGUCUGAAGAAGAGAUACUGAAGUAAUUGUUCAUCGACUGAGCUUAAAUGAAAUAUUAACUCUUUGUUGUGCCAUAAGCACAAGAUCUUAAGAAAAAAAUUCAAGAUAAACCAUAUAAUAUUUUCUAACCCACAAAAUAAUAUAGAAAAUAAAUGCAAGAACAAGAGAAUAGCAAGACACAACGAGGCUGCUUACAAUCAGUGUAAAUGAGCAAACAAAUUCACCAUCAACAAAUUAGCAUGCUUAUGAAGUGUUUUGCAACCUCACAAACCAAGGCGCCAUAUACACCAAAUGACUCUCACUGAAAAACUAAACAAAGAAACACACUCACACUAAUGAAAGCAACGUUACAAGGUAGGAGAUUGAAUAUUACAUUUACAAUACACUCAUAAGUUACAAAAACUAAUUACAAAUAUUUAGCGCAUAGGUUACAUAGAACUGAAAGGGUGGAAUGAUAAGAGCUAUGGUGGUCAUCCACCAACUCAUGCAUUUACAACACCGCCUCUUGAAUGUCCACCAUACAAUACAAUGAUAUAGUUGCGUCAUUAAACACUUUGCUUGAAAAACUAUAUGGGACAAAACUUAGGCUACGGGAAAAAGAGUGCAACACAAAUAAUAUUGAUAUCACAUUUGUCUCUCCUACGGAAUGAGCUUUGGUGAUGUUUGUAUAAAAAUUGCGUACAAACCAUUAUUGGAAGAUUGGGCUAGAGUGGGCUUUACCCUAGUGUUGACUUUGGAAAGAGACAAAUUAGGCUUAGUUGUGUAAAUUCAAUCCAAAAAAAAAUUAAAUAAUAGCCCACAUCUACAGCCAAAUACUUUAAUACUUUAAUUACUAAAGUUUUUUUUUCUUUCUCUCUCUUCUUUGGUUUAUUCAGCUUUUGAUUUGGCUCAAAUAAUGUUUAUAUCUCUCUUUGAUUUUGUUUUUUCAAAUUUAUUGAUGUUGCUUCUUUUGAAAAUUUUGAAAUAUGGACCCUCCCUAACUAAACCACUCCAUUGAGCAAAAGCCCUUGAGCUUCAAAUUUAUCUUCGUCUGAGCCUCUGAAUUUUGGUUUUUUUUAGGUUUUUUUUGUUUGUUGUAGGUUUCUUUGUUCACAUAUCUCUCUAAAAAUAGUAUUUUUCUUAAUGAAUUCUGAAAAUAGUUUUUAAUUUGAAGGAAAUAUACGGAAUUAGUAAAAAAGUAUACCACUUUCAUUAAUCUGAAGGAAAUAUUGCUUUAUAUAUAUUUGUUUAAAAAUAGGGCUUAUAAUUGAUCUCAAAAAAAAAAAAAAAACAAAUAGCCCACCCCUGUAAAUAUUCCUUAGUCCGCCAUUGCAUGGCAUAAUAUUUGGUAUGCUAUGCUAGCAUCUCAUAAGCUCUUCAAGAGACCUGAAUUUUAUGAUAACUUCUUAAAAAAUUUGAAUACAUUUCAACGAUAUUAAACUUGAAUUUGAACUCAUAAUUCAAUCAAAGUACUCAUUGAGGCAAUUUAGAUCAUUUUCAUUUUAAAAAAAUUGGGUGCACACAUUGAGCUUCAUGCUCUUUACCUUCUUAGAGAUUUUAUUUGAGGAAUUUAUAUUGCAUCACAUAUUACAUCUCUUAGGAUUUGUUCUUAUUAUGUAUUCUUUAAGAGAUCUAUUCUUGCAAUAUGCUUCAAACACUUCAUAAUCUUUAUGAAUUUUUCAUGUAGAUUUAAGGUCUCCAUGAAUAUUGAGAUUGAAACAAGGAGUAAAAGAGUUAAAAGUUUAAGAAAUUUUUUCCCUGAUUAUUUUGUAAUUAUAAUGUUGGUGAAAAUCCAAUUUCCUUUCUAGAAUUUGUGAAAUUUGUUAUUUGGCUAAGCUAAAAGUAUAAUUUUGACAAUAAAAAGCAUAUGAAAGUUUCUCUUUGGUUGGCUUCUUGGCUAGCUCUAGGAACGGACAGUGUGGCCAUGAGAUAACCAUGGAAGUAUAAUAAGAAUGCUUGGAUGCUGUGAACAAUCCAUUUUCUGACUCUUUUUCUUGAGGUGGUUGUUUUCUUAUGGCCCAUCAGAGUUUAUGGUCGACAGAUAAGCUUCAAACACAUGCAUUGGUCGUGUCAGUUGCGAUAAACUCUUCCCAACAAUCAACAAUUUCUAAGGUAAUAUCAUCAUUCAAUCAUGUGCUGAAUUUAGAAUUGUUUUCAAAUCAAGGAUUUGUUUUGGAACUCAGAUUUUAAAACAAUUAAAAUUUAAUUGGGAAGACUUUUUGUUUAAAGGAAGUUCGUUUCAAUUCAAAAAAUAAUUUUUCAGUUUUUCAACUCAAAAGUCUUCUCAGUUUUCUUAUUUUUCUUAUUGGCGAGUUUCUUGGUUAACUCUAGGAAGGGAGAUAUGUGGCCAUGAGCUAACCAUGGAAGCAUAAGAACGCUGACCAUGCUUGGAUUUUGAGAAGACUUCCUCUUUUUUUUUUCCCUGACUCUUCUUCUUGAGGCGGUGGUUGGCUUAUGGCCUCAUAAUAGUUUGGUGUUUUUGGAGAUCAUAUGGUGAUGAUCUGAUGGAGAUGAGUCAUAGUUUGUGCUAGUGCAUACGUAAUUCCAAUUUCCUGAUUCAGAUGGGAUAAACUCUUCCAACAAAUUAAGACUCUUAUCAUGCAUACACAUAAGAAGUGGAAAUUUGCUUCUGUCUUAGUUUGGCCUUGAUAUAGGACAGCUCAUAGGAAAGCAUCCAAAACAAUAUUCUUUUUAUUUUUUUUAUUUGAAUACAAGCGAUAUUAGGAGUGUGGGGAUUUGAACACAUGAUUUAGGGUACAGGGUAAUGCUCUUAACUAUAUGAGUUACAAGUCCCUUGCAAACAGUCUGAAAUACUAAAAAUAAAAAAUAGAUGCUCAUCCAUAUGCACUGUCAUGCCCCAACCCUUGGAUUUACAAAACCUUGUGUUAAGACGUGAUUCACACCUUAAUUAUAGAAUUUAAUAAAAACUAUAACUAAAAUGUGAAGAAAACAUUUAAAUAAAUAAAAUAAAUAUUUCACAUAGAAUAUUCAGUGGAAAUGACAACAUGUGAAAUCUUAAAAAUUUUACAUUAUCUUACAAGUUGGCGUGACUUGUGGAUAUUGACUUACUUUCCUUACACACCAAGAAUUCCUAUUAUAAUUGUAAUUGAUUUACUUUAAUUCAUGAUUUCCUACUGUAAAUAGAUUUAAGAAUUUAUUAUUUACUUGCCCAUUCAGGUUUCGUUGUAUUAUAAAUAUGACCUCCUACAAGGAGAAGAACAUACAGAAAAUUCCCACAAACAAAUAUUCUCUCAUAGUUUUCAUAUUUUAGCAUGGUAUCAGAGCGGCAAUCUUGGAAUUGCUGACUCUAGUUUCAAACCCCCGCCGCCGCUAUGGGGGUUGAUGAUUUUUUCAACCAUCAUGGAGGUAGCACCAUCGACUCCUUCUCUCAUUCUCAACUAACCAUCGUUGAGUUGAGUGCCCAGAUGGCUCCGCUCCUACAGAUGCAGACUUUGACCCCAAACCCGAUCCAGAAUCAGGAUCUUCUUUCGACAACCACGACCCCGAUCUCGACUAUGACAACGACGACCCCGACCCCUACUCUGAAGAUGACCCCGACCCCCACUCCGAUGACCCCAACCCCGAAUUUGUCUCUGAUUCAGAACCCGAUCCCGAUUUCGACUCCGACUCCGGCCUCGACUCAGGCUCAGAUUUCGAUCCAAAUUCCUACUCAACUUAUAUCCUAUGCAUCUUCCGCUGCACAGAUUAUGACUUCUAGACUAACGACCCCGACAUAUGGACCAGAUUGCACAUAUUGUGGUGAUCCGAGACACACUUGUGAGACUUGUUUUAAAUCGCAUGGCUACCCCGAUUGGUGGGCUAUUCUUACAGAUCAAGGACAAUGCACCAGUAAUGGUACUGGUUAUGGAUUCCAUACUUCCGAUAAGAUUGAUUCCAGGAGCUGGAUAAUUGAUUCUGGUGCAACUGAUCAUAUGACGUUUGAUCCUGAUGAUUUUCUGAAUACUACACAACCUCGACGAACUUGUAUUGCAAAUGCCAAUGGUGUUACUUAUCCUGUGACAGGGGCUGGCACUGUUGCACUCUCAUCCUCUCUCACACUGUCUAAUACUUUACUUGUUCCAUUUUUAUCCACUAAAUUGUUGUUAGUUAGUCAGCUUACUAAACAAUUGAAGUGUUGUGUACUCAUUUACCUGAGUUUUUGUUUGCUUCAGGAUAUUCACACUAAGGAGAUUCUUGGUCGUGGUACUAAGAGAGGGGGGCUAUAUUAUGUCGAUGACUUCAGUUCCGGCGUGCCUAACAGUGUGACACAUCCCUUUGAUAGCAAACAAAAGCAAAUUUGGUUGUGGCACCUUCGAUUGGGACAUCCGUCUUUCAGUUAUAUGAAGCAUCUUAUACCAGAUUUAUUCUUAGGUUUCAAGGACUCCGACUUCACAUGUGAUACUUGUAUUUUGGCUAACAGUCACCGUGUGCCCUACCUGUUGAGUACGAACAAGUGUACUUGUAAGAUCCCACAUCAACCAACGGAGAGGGGGUGAUGUGCCUUAUAUAUGCACACCUGCAUCCAUCUAGCACGAGGCCUUUUGGGAGCUCACUGGCUUCGGAGUCGUAGGAACUCCGAAGUUAAGCGAGUUGGGGGCUAGAGCAAUCCCAGGAUGGGUGAUCCACUGGGAAGUUGCUCGUGAGCUCCUAGAAACAAAACCGUGAGGGCAGAGAGAGGGGCCCAAAGCGGACAAUAUCGUGCUACGGCGGAGUUGAUCCCGAGAUGUGACAAUUUGGUAUCAGAGCCACUCUGCCGUGUGGUGCGAAUGUGCCGACGAGGACUUCGGGCCCUUAAGGGGGGUGGAUUGUAAGAUCCCACAUCAACCAACGGAGAGGGGGUGAUGUGCCUUAUAUAUGCACACCUGCAUCCAUCUAGCAUGAGACCUUUUGGGAGCUCACUGGCUUCGGAGUUGUAGGAACUCCGACGUUAAGCGAGUUGGGGGCUAGAGCAAUCCCAGGAUGGGUGACCCACUGGGAAGUUGCUCGUGAGUUCCCAGAAACAAAACCGUGAGGGCCAGAGAGGGGGGCCCAAAGCUGAUAAUAUCGUGCUACGGCGGAGCCGAUCCCGGGAUGUGACAAUUGUACUACUCCAUUUACGUUAAUUCACUCUGAUGUCUUGGGACCUUCGCCUAUCACUGCUCCUUCUGGUGUUCGAUGGUUUGUCACAUUCAUCGAUGAUUGUAUACAGAUGACAUGGCUUUAUUUGCUGAAGAAUAAAAACGAAGUGUUUUCCCGUUUUCAGUCCUUCCACAAACAGAUGAAAACUCAGUUUAAUGCUCAAAUCCAGAUUCUUCGCUCAGACAAUGGUGGAGAAUUUGUCAAUCAUGACUUUCAGACUUACUUCCAACAACAUGGAAUUAUCCAUGAGACGACUUGUCCUCAGACACCACAACAAAAUUGUGUUGUUGAACGAAAGAAUUGACAUCUUCUUGAAACCGCCCAAGCACUUCUGAUUGGCGCUCAUGUUCCUCGCUAUCACUGGGAUGAUGCUAUUGUCACCGCAGUUCACCUGAUCAACCGCAUGCCUUCUGGUGUAUUGACCUUUAAAACUCCCUUACAGGUGCUUGCGCAACACAGACCUCUGCUCUCUGUUUUGGUACUCACACCCCGAAUCUUUGGAUGUGUGGCUUUCGUUCAUCUCCACAAAAAUCAACGUAGCAAACUUGAUCCCUGUGCGCUUCGUUGUGUUUUUAUAGGUUAUGCCACUCAUCAGAAAGGCUACCGUUGUUAUCACCCUCCUACCCAACGAACCUAUGUCACUUUGGAUGUGACCUUUCUGGAAUCUGAGUUGUUCUUCCAUGACCCAUCAUCCAAUUCUACGCAUCAGGGGGGGAUACGAAGUGAAGAGCAGAAUUGAAGCAACUUGGGAAAUAAAGAAAUUUUCCUCUGUACAGAAAUGAUUAAUCAUCCUGAGUCUGGAGCACGAGAUUACUCUCUGUCGAAAAGCAACCAAUCGCCCAUUCAUAGCGAUCAAUUGCCUCACCUACCUGAUCCAUGUGAAGAUAUUUUUGAUCCGAGUCUCACACCUACAGACAAUACAGAACAACAAGAUGAAGACUCCCCCUCUAACUCAACAGUACCAACAGACCAAUCUCCUGAGAAUAUCCUUGAGGUAACUACUCCUACUAGAUUUGUGCAUUUAAAUGAUUAAACUAUUGGAUAUCAAUUACCUUUCAGGGAAAAUCGUGGGAAGCCAUCAAACCGUUAUGCACCUGAUAUUGGCAAGACAUCCAAGUAUCCAAUUGCAAAUCAUGUAUCCACUGAGAAGCUGUCUGAACAACUCAAGGCUUUUGUGCAUCAGUUGUCUGCGAUCCAUAUUCCAACCAAGGUCUCUGAAGCAUUAAAAUAUCCUAAGUGGGUCCAAGCUAUAAAAGAGGAGAUGAAAGCUCUUGAGAAAAAUCAGACUUGGACAUUAGAGACUAUACCUCGAGGAAAAAAGACUAUCAGAUGUAGAUGGGUGUUUACUAUAAAACACAAUGUAGAUGGAUCUAUCGAGCAAUACAAGGCAAGACUUGUGGAAAAAGGGUACACACAGACAUAUGGUAUAGACUAUGAAGAAACCUUUGCUCCAGUUGCAAAGUCAAACACCAUCAGAGUCUUAUUGUCCCUUGCAGCUAAUUUGGAUUGGCCACUACACCAGUUUGAUGUAAAGAAUGCUUUUCUACAUGGCGUACUCACGGAGGAGGUGUACAUUUACAUUCCUCCUGGAUAUAAUACUACUUAGACUGGAACAGUUUGCAGGUUACGAAAAGCAUUGUAUGGAUUGAAACAGUCACCACGUGCAUGGUUUGGACAGUUCACCAUGGCAAUGAAGAACAAUGGUUCAAACAGUGCAACUCAGAUCAUACUCUACUCUUGAAACAUCGAAAAGGGAAGGUAACAACAUUAAUAAUCUAUGUUGAUGAUAUGAUUAUUACUGGGAAUGAUAAACAGGAAAUAUCACAGCUACAAGACUAUCUGGCUACGGAGUUUGAGAUGAUGGAUCUAGGUGGACUCAAGUAUUUCUUGGGAAUUGAGGUGGCUCGAUCCCAGCAAGGCAUAUUUCUCUCUCAAAGGAAAUAUGUCUUGGACUUGUUGACAGACACAUGAAUGCUAGAUUGUAAACCUGCGAACACUCAUAUUGUUCAGAAUCAUCAUCUUGGAGAAUAUCAUGAUCAAGUUCCAACUAACAAAGAAAGAUACCAAAGGUUAGUAGGAAGAUUGAUCUAUUUGUCACAUACUUGACCAAACAUUACUUAUGCAAUGAGCGUUGUCAGUCAAUUUAUGCACUCUCCAAGUGAAGACCACACGAAUGCAGUUCUUCGGAUACUUAGAUAUUUGAAGUCUGCACCUGAAAAAGGACUUAUUUUCUGAAAGCAUGGUCAUAUAAAUAUUGAUGGUUAUUCAGAUGUAAUGUAACAGAUAGAAAAUCCACAUCCGGUUACUUAACAUUCAUGGGAGGUAAUUUGGUGACAUGGAGGAGCAAGAAACAGAAUGUAGUAGCUUUAUCCAGUGCAGAAGCCGAGUUCAGAGGCAUGACUAAAGGAAUUUGUGAACUUCUUUGGUUAAGAAAGUUGCUUACUGAACUUGGGUAUAAACCUACAUCCACAAUGAUUCUCUUUUGUGACAACAAGGCUGUUAUAGCCAUUGCACAGAAUCCGGUUCAGCAUGAUCGUACUAAACAUGUUGAGGAGGAUCGACACUUCAUCAAACAGAAGCUUGAGGCUAAAAUGUUUCAGUUUUCUUUUGUGAAAUCCGAGGAUCAAUUGGCGGAUAUUUUGACAAAGGUGAUUUCCAGUAAAACAUUCCACAAUUCACUGGAUCAGUUAGGCAUUGGCGAUAUCUAUGCACCAACGUGAGGGGAAGUGUUGGCGUGACUUGUGGAUAUUGACUUACUUUCCUUACACACCAAGAAUUCCUAUUAUAAUUGUAAUUGAUUUACUUUAAUUCCUGAUUUCCUAUUGUAAAUAGAUUUAGGAAUUUAUUAUUUACUUGCCCAUUCAGGUUUCGUUGUAUUAUAAAUAUGACCUCCUACAAGGAGAAUAACAUACAGAAAAUUCCCACAAACAAAUAUUCUCUUAUAGUUUUCAUAUUUUAGCAAGAACUACUCGAGAGUUUACUAAAAGAGUAGUUCAGUAUUCAUCCACAAGCUAUAUACACAAUACACUCUAUAGAUAUGCCAAAAUCAUCGCAAGCUCUAGAUUUUAGGUUCGAUACCUGCAAAAUCUAUUAGAAGGGUGAGUGAAACCACAGUUUAGUAGGGACAUAAACCUUUUCACGGUAAACUGAUAUAAUUAAAUUAAGUGAAAAAUAAUCACACAGCCAAAUAUCACAUUAUUAAUAACAAUGCAUGAAUGCUCUUCAUUUAACCCGUUAAUUCAUAUAAUUAGACAAGCUUCACGACCCAUACCAUGCUUAUACCACUUAGUCCCGAAUGCCAAUUUAUAUGAAUUAACGCCCAUUUCAAUCAUCCCAUAAUUCCCAUUUUGUUAGUCAUCUUGUCUAACUCCCUGUUGCCAGUCCUGAAUCACCAAAAAAAAAAAACCAUGUGCACUAUGGGAUCCCUGAGUACUAGUACCUGGCAAGAGUUAGACUCAACUACACAAAAGAUCAUUUCUAUUACCCUCUUAUCCACCAUUAUUUUCUCAACUUCAGAAUUCUAGCCAAAUUCCAUGACAUGAUAUAAUUAAAAUUAUGCCUUCACAACAAUGUGCCCAUUUAAAACAUCACUAAUGCACAUAUAAUUAUGCCCACAUUGUUCAAAUAGUUAAGAGUACGUAAAUACCCAAUACAUGGAACGUCAAUCAAACAGUACCACGCAUAAUAUAAUGCUCAAGAAAUUUAAUUAAAUCAAUCUCUGUAAAAGGCCCCUAAGAAACCCCUGCCUUGAUACUAAAGCUUUUGCUAGACCUAUAAGGUGUUUUCCAAUUUUCCACCGCAUUCACAAACUCUGUCUUCUACUUUUUUUCUUACUUCUCUCUACCACUAUUUCUUUCUCGUUUUCUUUGUUUUCACUUGUUGUGCAACUUAAUGUCCUAUAUAUAUACAAGGAACAAGUCGGCAGUAAGUGAUUUCCUAUUGGAUGGUGUAUUCGGUUGUUAUAAACUUACUAGUAAUAGUUAUCAAUGUAGUUGCAGAUGAGGAAGAAUGUUUUUGUGACUCUUCCAAUCCCUCUAAUCCUAUUUCUUAUCUUCUUGGUGAGUUGAUAGCCUCGAUACUUAACAGAUUUUAUACUUUGACACGUAUUAACAAGAACUAUUUUAAAAACAUAUACAUAUAUAUAUAUAUAAUAGAAUAUGUAUAUAUGUAAUACACAUAUUUAUAUAUAAUAAGAAUAAUAUAUAUGUAAUAAGAUAUAAAUAUUUAUUAGAACAGUAUAUAAAAUAAUAUAUAUCAUUCUUAUUAUAACAAUAAUUUUAAUUUUCCCAAAAUAAUAUAUAUUUAAAAAUAUGUGGUUUCACAUGCAUGUCCUUUUUGCUAUAGACACUAUUACAAAAAUCGAAAUAGACAACGGAAAACUACCGUCGUCUGGAAAGUUUUCAAACAGUCGUGAAAUCGACUGUCGUCUCUUUUACAUAAAACAACGACGGCUAUUAACCAACGUCGUUAAUACAUUCCACGUAAAAAACUAUUAUAAACCGACGUGUAAUUACUAUAUAUAUAGCCUAAAAUAAAAUCUUCAACAACCUUAGACGACGGUUUUAUUAAAACUGACACGUCUAAAGAGUGUUACAUGUCAAGAUCAAAACAAGAACCGACGUACAGAUAAUUAUCCACGUCCUAAUUGAAGUAAAAUAGACUUGGAUAACCUAGAAACCGUCGUGGUUAACAUAUACUACGUUAAAUUAACAAAGGCACUUACGUCUAAAAAGUAAAAGACAACACGCGCACAAAGCAACAGACGUUUAAAGCUUAGUACAUGUCAAUAGCCGCUCAAUAACCGCAGUAAAAUGAAUUAACCACGUCCCACAUAUGGCAGAACUGUUGCUUAUGUGAUUAUCCACGUCGCGGAGUAGUAGAACAAAGACGUUGUAACCAUAUUCCACGUCUGUUUCUUGUGAGAAUUGUCGUUUAAAUUAUACAAAGAAGCCCCUUUGACAGAGUUAGACGUUGCUCUUGCUGUAGAACCGACUUCUAACAGGUUUAAAAUGACACAAUAUUACUUAAUACUGCCGUAACAAAUCAUAUCCACGACUGCUGUUGUCAAAGACUGACGUUACAAAAAAUAUUGAAGGUGUUGACAAAAAAGAACCGACAUGGAUUAUGCAUUCAACGUCGUGUGGUCUAAAAAUAAAGGACGUGGUUAAUUUUUUCUCUACGUCAAGUGGAUCCAAUUGCCUGAUGUUGUAAUUCUUUACCAUGUUGGUUUUUAAUACAUGAUGAUGUGGUUGUCCUUUUAAAAGUCGCUUGUUUUACCCUCCUUGACGUGUGUAUGAUAUGAGACGUCAAUUGUUUUAGACUAGCUGACGUGCAGAAAAUCUGUCACGACAAUUAAUGCAACUGAAUUGCCUCUAUUUCCCCCAGACGACGGUAGGUUUUAAGUGUGGAAGUAGUGUUUUACAAAAUCGUAAGUUGGAGUAAUCUACCAUCGUGUUAUUCGAGAAUAUACCACGAUCUUUGUUUUGUACUCGGUCGCUGAUGUUUAUACUACUUAAUAAACUGACAUGUUUUCAGUUUCAGACGGCGGCUUUUGUUUCUUUAUGGUCUUUUGCAUUUUUUUUCCAUGACAUUUUUGAAAGCCUAAUGUUGGUUUUAUUUUAGAAAUCGAUUUUUCCCCUUUUUUUACUGGACCGUCGUACUUUACACAUUUAAUCAAUUUUUUUCAAUUUUUGAUUCAUCGUGCCCAAAGCCUACAUAACGAAAAUGUGAUCAGAAUUAAAAUGAUGUACAAAGGUAUUAAUUAAUGUCAUACAAUUAACUGAAUAACUAAUGUCAUACACUACAACAAUCAAUCAAUCCAUAUAUCUUCACACCCAUCUUUAAUAUUUUCACUCCCAAACUCACCCACUAGGUCAUCAUAUGUGUCAACAUUUGGUAUCCCUCUAGUAAAUGUCUCACACUCAAUUCUAAUAUCACCUAGCACAUCAUCACCAAUAACAUUAUUAUAUUCUCUAUUAUGCAUUGAUAACACUACCGACCAACCACGAUGCAUUGGGUCGUCAGCAUAAAAUACUUGUUUUGGUCAUUCCUAUGUCCAAUUUUACUCAAAUCUACAAAGGUGAAUCCAAGUUCAUCGACAACAAGGCCCAAAGUGUUAUCUAUCCAAUCACACCUCAAGACAAGGAUUCUAAACUUUUGGUAGUCAAGGUCCCAAAUUUCUUGAAUAACACCAUAAAAACCCAUAUUGGAGACAAUAGAGUUUUUAUCCUUAGCACUAGCAACUUGCAUAGUAUGUGCAAGUAAAUAAACUCCACUAUUUUGGACAGUUCGCAUAUCAUCUUGUGCCUUGGUGUUAAAUUUAACACCAUUAAUAAGAUAGCUCCUAUAUGAUGGCAUUGCCAUGCUUGGACUAGCUGCUAGCCACCUCAAAUUUUAUGAUACGCCAUUAUGCUCUUCCCCAUUAAGUUCACUUUGAACUUGCAAAUUAAUCGUAUAUAUCCUAAUUCGAUCUAACAUAUAAAAAGGAAGAAAAUUAAAAGUUGAAUAUGUCAUUCAAUAACAUAUAUACUUGAAAGUGUAGCCAUUGAAUGAAAGUGCUAUUGUGCUUAUCUUGCAGCCACUUUGUUCUCUUUCUAAAUAUUGGAUAAGUGGUCUUGAUGUGGAUCAUAUGUUCCAUACAUUGACACGAAAAAAUCAAGCAUUACGGUCCCUUGUAUAUAAGAUAACAUAAGGAAUAAUAAUAUUUAAAAUGGCUCUAUAUGAAAAAUGGAACUCAUGCGUACUCGAUAUAAGGUAGGACUUCCUCAGUAUUCUCCAAGACAUAUAGAUGUGUCUGGUUCAAAAAACCCGAUCACCUAAGCUUACUGUGCAACCAGAUAAUGGCUUUGAAACUCCCAUCUUCUAGCUUGAAGGCACUCCAACUGUACUAACAUCAGAUAAAUGCUCGGUGCAAAACUCUACAACUUCUUCAGCUAUAUACCGCUCAAUAAUGCAACAUCCGGGACGAGUACGGUUCUGAACAAACCUAUUUAGCACUUUCAUAUGUCUUUCAAAUGGAUACAUCCAUCUAAAAUAUACUGGCCCAUGUAGACGAACUUCUCUGACAAGAUGUACUACUAGAUGAACCAUGAUAUCAAAGAAUGAAGGGGGAAAGUACUUCUCAAGCAAACGCAACGUAACUACUACAUCUUCUUCCAAAUUAUCUAGCUUGGAAACAUCUACUGUCUUUGCACAUAUAGCAUUGAAGAAGAAGCACAAUCGAGUUAUUGCAUACCUUGCAGGCUUCUCCAAACAGAACGAAUUGCCACAGGGAGCAAUUGUUGCAUCAAGGCAUGAAAAUUAUGAGAUUUAAGGCCAAGAAGUCUUGAAUAUUUUUAAGAUACAAGAUUUUUUUAUAUUUGAACAAUAACCUUCAGGGACUUUCAUACCAUAGAAAGAAUUGCAAACCGCUCUCUUAUCUGCUCUUGACAAAUUCUAGGGCCUUGGAGGCAAGCGAGUACGUCUUUCUCAAUACUCGGGUUGCAAAUCAUUUUUGACCCCCAUGUUCAAUAAAUCUAACCGAACAGCAAUCUCAUCUUUAUUUUUUCUAGGGAUCUCCAGCAAUGUACCAAUGAUACUAUCGCAAACAUUCUUCUCAAUAUGCAUAACAUCUUGGACAUGCCUCAUAGGAAGGUAUUUCAAAUACUCGAGAUCAAAGAAUUUUGAUUUCUUAUUCCAACAAACUCUGUCACCAUCAUUCUCAAAAACACUUCCCCCAUUUUUCGAGCCCCAUAUGUAAUUAAUAUCUUCAACCAUGUCCUAUUCAAGUUAAUGGUUCGGGAGGCGUGCCAUAUUCAAGUUUUCCAUUGAAAGCUGCACGCUACCUCCGACAUGGAUGAUUGAUUGGUAACCAUUUUUUAUGACCAAUGUAACAAAUUUUGGGGCCAUUUUCAACCUGUGACUAGGUGUAUCAUCGCCGCAUAUUGGACAAGCUUUAUAUCCUUUAACGACACUGUAACACCCCGACUCUAAAUUAAUCCCUUAUUUAAUUAUUUAAAGAAAAUUACAAAUUUACCCUUAAGAUAGGGGUAUUUUGGUCAUUUUCUUACCCGAAGAGAGUUUGGGGCAGUGACUAGUAUUUUUGGAUAGGUCGUACUGAGACGAGUUCAUAGACACGUAGUGGGCUCGAAUCGAAGUUGUAACGAGAGAGAUAUGGUCAAAAGAAACCCAAUUGCACAAUCAUAAUUAUUUCGAAAUGAGAUUUUUAUAAAAAUCAGAUUUUUUUUUCUCUCUCUCUCUCUCUCCUCGUCGGUCUCUCUCCCUCUCCUCGAAACUCCGGCCAUCGGCCACGGCUGUGGACGGGGCCGGUACCAAAAUGACCGAGGCGUUGUCCUCCUCUAAUCCCAGCUAGGUCCCGCCGUCAGCCGCCAUGGUUUCGCCGGAAAAUGGAGAAGAAGCGGCCGGCGUCGUCCGAAGUUCUCCGCCGUUGAUCUCCCUCUUCCGGUCACCGAUUCCGACGAGUGAGGUAUGGUUUCUCACCUACUUUUCAUGCUCUAGCUGCCUGCUGGGUAUGAUUGGAUUGAUUUUUAGCGUAGGCAAUUCGAUUUUCGCAUUGAAAUUCGGCUAAUUUUGGAAUCACGAUUCCGGCUAGUUCUGGUCAGUUUUUGGGGUAGAUCCAAGAACAAAAGUGGCUCCAAAUAGGGUGUUAUACCUAGGGUAGGAGUUUGGAGCCAUGGUUUUGAGAUUUUCCGGCGAUACGUAAUCGCUUUAGACACCCAACGCUGCCCGCACGUGUGGCAGUGCGUGGGCGAGGGUAGUGAAAUAGCACUAUGUCUCGAUGAGAUCCUUAGGUUGUCACGAGUGCGUAGGAUUUCGCGGAUCUCAAUUCGGACGUCGUUUGACUAUCGAACGGAUUUUCGUAUAUUGCGCGUCAUCCGGGUUCGAUAGGUUGGGACCGUUGGAUGGUCUCGAAUAAAAUAUAUGUUAAUCUAGGUAUUUCUAGGAUCAUGUAGGAAUUCACGGAUUAUAAAUCGGAGCCCCGGAUAUUCCGAAUAAAUAAUUUAAAGUUUAUGUUUUAUAAUAACCGUCACAUCGUGCGAUCGUGAGCGAUCCGACCGGCCGAUCUGGACCAAACUUACAGAACGAGUGUCCUAUACCUUGAAGAACCCAUAGGAAUUUUCAGAUCGAAAUUUGGAGGUCGUGGGCCCCGUGGGCCCAUUUGACUAGGGGUAGGGUAGUUUGACCCUUAGUUGACCGUGAGUCUCCCGGAGUAAUCUCACCUUUCCAGGGGGAUUAUCGGGUGCUAGACUGUUGUUGAGGUUUACACGAUAUUAGUAGUAAAUUAUAUAUUUAUAUACAUUUGUAAAGGUAAAAAAUAAGUCCAGAAUGUCAGUUUGAAGUGCUUUACGCACUACCUUAGGUACCUCCCCGGAUUUUAGUUACACUACAAGUACCACCCUAUGAAAGUUAGGUCCCACGUGGCGUAGGUUAUCCGGCGUGCGGACAGGCCCUAUACGUGGCAUUGGUAGUAUCGGUGUAUGGGGAGAUUACGUGAUAAUAUGUUGAGGUCACACGUGGCGUAGGUUAUCCGGCGUGUUGACAGACCCCAUACGUGGCGUUGGUUGUACCGGCGUAUGAGGAGAUAUUGUGAUAUGAUAUUCAGGUCUCGCGUGGCGUAGGUUAUCCAGCGUUGAGACAGACCCCAUACGUGGCGUUGGUUCUACCGGCGUAUAAGGAGUUUAUGUGAUAUUAUGUUGAAGUCGCGCGUGGCGUAGGUUAUCCGGUGUGUCGACAGACCCCAUACGUGGUGUUGGUUGUACCGGCGUAUGGGGAGAUAUGUGAUAUGAUGUGCAGGUCUCGCGUGGCGUAGGUUAUCCGGCGUUGAGACAGACCCCAUAUGUGGCGUUAGUUGUACCGGCGUAUGGGAAGAUAUUGUGAUAUGAUAUUCAGGUCUCGGGUGGCGUAGGUUAUCCGGCGUGUUGACAGGCCCCAUACGUGGCGUUGGUAGUACCGGUAUAUGGGGAGAUUAUGUGAAAUACAGAGAAAUGAAAUAAGGUAUUGCCUAUGUGUGGAAUUGGGUUUUAAGGAAGAACUACGUGUGGCUUGAUCCCUCAGGGAGGGUACGUAGGCAGCCUAAGGUUAUUAGGUGUAGCCGCGGACAUAGACGUGAUUGUGUUAGGAGGUUAAAACCUCGUAUGUUGAAAUUGAGAAAAUUAGAUGAUGUAUGUUGAAAUUUAGUAGUCGUAAUUUAUAUUUAAAUUUAUCGUUUGCCUUGUUUAAGGCAUGAAUUGAUUUGCUAGCAUGCUUGGUAGUUGAGAAUUAUAGAAAGGCCGAAGGCCGUUUAUGUGAAUUGCAUGGAAUUAUAUUGUGCAUGCUGCCAGUUGUAGUUAUUAAAUGUGUUUUUAUGCAGGUUGAAAUUUUGGGAAAUGUCCAAUUUACAGGGGAGACUCUGCCGAAAUUUCGGCAGAAAGUCUCGGUCUUUAGUAAGUGGGCCUGACAUCGAGGUGAUGUCGGGGAAUCCACAGGAUCCGCCUCGAUUUUUGGAAAAAUCGGGGCGGUUCCUUUCAGACACAACCAGAUAAGUUCUCAUAGGCAGAAAAAUCAUUAAUUGUUCACAGUAAUACACCUAUGAGUGUAAAGUAAUCUCCUAUGUGUGCAUCAUACACUCCUUUAAUCCCAUCCCACAAAGAUUUUAAAUCAUCAAUCAGAGGCUCUAAGUAGACAUCUAUAUCAUUUCCAUUCUAUUUAGGACCAGAAAUCAAUAAGGUCAAUAUCAUGAACUUCCAUUUCAUGCAUAGCCAUGGUGGGAGAUUAUAUGUAACUAAGAUAACCAACAAUUGUAUCUGCUACUUAAAGAACUGUGGGGAUUGAAUCCAUCAGAUGAGAGAGCCAAUCUCAAGUUUCUUGGCUCUUUACUGAACUCGGGCCAUUUAUCAUCAACAAGUUUUUAAGACGGGAAAUUCGCUGGAUGAGACAUAUGACCGUCAAUUGCUUUUCUAGCAACAUGCCAAGUCAAACUCUUAGCUGUCAUAUGUGAUUGAAACAUCCUUUUAAACCUUGGAAUUGGAGGAAAAUACCACACCACCUUCGCUGGCACACUCUUUUUCAAGAUUGAAUCUUUGCAUUCCUUCCACCUUGAGAUACCACAAGUAGGACAAUUAGUUGAAUCUUCAUAAUCAUUCCUAUACAAGAUGCAGUCAUUGGGACAUGCAUGGAUAUUCUCAUAACUCAUCCCUAAAGGAGAUAAUGUCUUUUUUGCCUCGUACAUAGAGGAAUAUAGUGUCUUUCCUUCUGGAAGCAAAUCUCCUUGAAGUAUCAAUAAUUCUAUAAAACAAACAUCACUCAUCCCAUGUUUUGCUUUCAAAUUAUAUAACUUCACCAAAGCCGACAACAUCGUGUACUUACUGCAACCAGGGUACAAGGAUUGAUCUCAAUCCCCAAUCACAUUGGCAAACUCAUAAGGAUCAAAUCCAAUAUCGCCUAAAUCAUUAUCAUCCAUCCCUACUUCUUUAGAAACAAAACUGAACCUACUUUGCUCAUCUUCUUCCACAUUUCUACUAGCAUUAGUAGUCAAUUCCCAAGGUUCUCCGUGCCAUGUGCAAAUCUGAUAGCUUUAGUCAAUUCCAUUAAAGUAUAAGUGGUCCCUCAUAAUUCCAACCCCAAACAAUCGAAUAUUCCCACAUUUAACACAUGGACAACGAAUAUGAGUUGUAUUUCCAAGAUUUUCUACAGCAAAAUUCAAAAAUCCUUCCACCCCUAACUCAUAUGCCUUCGGUCUUCUAUCCGCAUGCAUCCAUGACUUAUCCAUCUCACACACUAUAAAAUCAUAUAUAUAAUAAAGUGAAAAGACCAGCAAUGAAACACUACUUUAUUCACAUAGCAAAGAAUGAAUUGAAAAAAAAAAUUAACCAAGAAUCAGACGACGGUUUUUACAAAAAAAAUCGUCCUGUAACAGAGGGUCAGACGACGGCAUAUCUAGUUAUCGACGUCUUUAAGCUACCCAAACCCAGAUAUUUGUAUUGCUUUUUGAAGAACCGGGUUCUGGGUUCUGGUAAACAAAAGAUGACGGUAAAUGGAGAAACACCGACGUAUCCUAAAACUUGAGACGACGGUUUAUUUCACCAACCGUCGUCGUAGUUUACGAAAAACAGAAGUCUAAAUCUCCCAUCCUCAUUCCUUUUCUAAGAACCCUUAACAAAAUGCAAACAUCAAAAUAUAAAAGAGCCAUAUAUAGCUCCCAAUUAAGAAACCAAAGCUACCAAAACAUAUAUUAAUAAACCAAAGCUACCAAAAUGAACGAAAACAUUUAUGGGUUUUACAAACUAAGAGAAUAUUGAGAGAGAGCUGAGAGAAUAUACUUACAUGGAUAUUGAGAGAGAGCUGAGAGAAUAUAACAAAUGCUUGAGAGAGAGCUUAGAGAAUAUACACAAUGCUUUGAGAGAGAGCGAAAAAUUUAAGACAAAUUUAUGUUGAAGAGAGAGAAGGAAAUAUUUUAGGGUUAAAGGGAAAUUCUGAAAAUUUUAGAUCACCGUCAAAAUUUUCAAAGGACCGCGUUUUUCAAAGACGGCUAAGGAAAACUACCGCCAUUGUAAAUCAUUUUACUACGACGGUUGAGGAAAACUACCGCCAUUGUAAAUCAUUUUUAUGUCGCCUCUAUAAAAACCGACGUCUAAAAUAUUAAAUAAUUAGAUUUGGUUUGCAUUUCGUGGGAUUCUAACGUGCGUAAUUGACCAAAAAGAGCGAGAGAAAACCAGCGUCGUUUCUAUAAAACCUAAACCCUAAACCCUAAACCCUAAACUCUAAAACCUAAACACUGAAAAAAUUAACCAAAAAUUGCUAUGGACUCCUUACAACAAUGCCUUCUAUAUUAGUAGGCUAAAAUCGGGAUUAAAUAAUUUUGAAUUUUAUGACCACCAAUGGAUCACAUAAACCUUAGGGUUAUGUUUAUGGAAAGUAUAAGGAUUAUUGUGUUUUGUCUCUAAAUCUUUUUUACUUUUGUUAUCACUUGUAACUUUGAAAUCUAAAAUUAAAAUUUUCAGGCCUUUAGGGGGGAGAUAUUGUCUCAAUGUGUUUAUAGAAUUUGAGACUGCGAAGGUUCUAGCUGAUUGACUAAGGAUGAGGCAGGAUGGAUGGAAGGUUUGCUUGGAGAUUCUACCUUUGUCAGCUCUUCUGGUUGACAUGUUGUUUAUUCUGCCUGAGGAACUACUUCUAGAUUUUUCCCUUUUCUAGCAGAACUAGUCUCUGGAAGUACUUGUGUGUCAUCCUUAUUCUUGAGGAAGACGCAGUAUUGCCUUUGAACUCUCCUCUUUUGCAUUCUGGUUAGCUUCAGAGUUGGUCUUCGGCUUUUUCCAAUAGAAUAUCAUCUACCUUCUAUGAUAGUUGCAAAGGGCUUGUCAUUUCCAGGCAUCUUAACUGGUAUUUCCUUCUUUGGCUGCUCUAUUAUUCUCUUGUUGCGUUGGGCAGGCCUUAAAUAGUCCUUCUGUCUGGCUCUAUCUCUAGGUGGAGCCGGAACUAGGCCUUGUUGGUAUGAUGUUCCAAUCCUGUCAAAAACACAAGGUGUGGGCUGACUUUGCCUAACCAGAGUUACCUCUAACUCACUUUCACAUUUGCACCUGUUGCACAAAACUACCCCAGCCGAAAUGGUUGCUUUUGGUCUUCAAUUAGCCUAUCUUUGGACUCUUCUGCCUAUGCUGGGGCUAACUUUUGCUGUUAGUUUGCCUUUCUUUUGUUUUGGCCAAUUUAAGUUGACCAUGUUGACUUGAGGUUGGGGAAAAGGGUCUGUUGUUAUCGAAUGAGGUUUCUCAGCCAGUUUUAGCCUCCAUGCUGUUAUUCCUUCCUGUAUGACGUCCCUGAAAACAACACAACUAUUGGUGGAAUGGUCCCAGGAGUUAUGCCAUCUGCAAUACUGUCUGCCCUUGAGUUCCUCUAGCUUGGGCAACUUGUAGGGUGUUUCUAUUGCCUUCUGUCGCAGCAUGUCAUCAAACAGGGCAUCAACCUUGGUUAAAUCGAGGGAAUAGACUUUGUUAUGAGCUGGUUUGUUUGGAACAAACCCUCUUGUGAAUGGUGGUGGCUUUUGGUCCUUUGGUGGCUUUGUUAAAGCCUUGCAACUGAUGAGAUGUUUUAAUUUCCCCAUUUCUGCCACUGCAACUUCUCUCUCCUCCGAGCUUUCUAUGCCUUCUUCUGAUUCUACCUCAACAAGAUUUACUGAAGAGGAUGGGGUUUUGUAAUAUGUGCCUUUGAAAGAGUUCCUCUUCUAUUGUUCUUCCCUGAGCAGCUCCUUGUAUUUAGAUGCUUUGUCUGCUAGUUCUGCCAGAUCUCCAAACAGCAUCCCAUCAAAUUUUUUUCUCAGAGAGAUUUUAAGGGAGAUUUGAGCCAUUUGGAUGAAGUGCCCUUCCUCCAUAGGGAUUCAAAAUUUCAUUUUGAGCUUUUUGAACCUGGUUAUGAAGUCUUGGGCAGGCUCAUCUUCCCUCUAUUUCCAGGUUUGAGGGCAGCAAGAUCACUGAUGGUGACUUCUGGCUGAAUCCUAAAAUAGUAGUCAUGGAAGACAUUUUCCAUCUAUUUCCAGGUUUGAACAGAAUUGGCUGGUAAGCUAGUAUAUUAGAUGAAGGCUUGUCCAGAGAGAGAAUUUCGAAAAAGCCUUAGUUUUAACAGAAGGUUAUUUUCUAUGGCUAUGCACUGGAAAGAGAAUCUGCCUAUAUGCUUAACUGAUGAAGCAUGGGUGUCUUCUCCGUUGAACAAGGUGAAGUGUGGUACCUUAAAGCCCAGGGAUAGAGGUAUUUGAUCGAUAUAAGCUGGAUAAGGCUUUCUGUAGGUGGGCCUUUCUCCUCUUCUGGCCUCAGGUUCCAUCAUCUCUCUGAUCAUUCUAUAAAGUGCCCCCAUGUCAUUCAAAGCAUUGACAUGAUGCGGGGUUCGCCCCUGUUCUGGCUAGUUGUGUUCAAUCCUUUGUUCUACUUUAUAUGGCCUGGGCAGAACUUCCUCCCUAUGCUCUUCCUCUUUUUCGAAAUCUGGAUGAUUCCUUUAGUUUGCCCCCGGUCUGUUUUUGUCAUUGUUGGCAAAGGGUUUAACUCCUACUCUACCUCUCAUGCCACUUGCUAGUGGAGGGAAUGGAUUGGGGUCCAUCCUUCUAGGUCUGUAGGGCAACACAACUGGUUGCUCAGGCAGAAGUGCCAAGGCCUGAUCACGUGGGGCCACUAGUUGUGGAAUAGGUGGAGGUUCUGGCUAGUUCUGAGGGGGUCUGAACUGGUGCAGAGCCUUCUGGAUGAACUGAAUCCUCAUGUUCUUGGAUGGGAAGGGCUCCUCCCCUCUGUCCAGCUUGGAUUUCUCCAUGUCCUGGUAUUCCAGCUAUCUGUGUGAUGAGAGGCUUCUCUUCAUAUGGCCAUGCCAGUCCUGGUAGAGGUCCAAAAGGGAGAUCUAGCUGCUGGACCACCAUGUCUAGGUUUGGAAUUUUGGCAAUAGUAGCCUCACGGUCCUUCCUGAACUGCCUGUUGACUUGCCAUUACAUCAUGGUUGUCAUGUUGUUUAGAGUAUCUUGGCUCAUUUGUGCUGUGGCUUCUUGCCGAAACACAGCCUCCUGUAUCUAGUUUAACCUUCUGGAACCAGACAUGGAACGUCUACUCGUGGUACUGCCAUGGGCUGAUUACCUAGCAUCACUUUCUUUUGACUCAAGUCCUUUUCGGAGAGCUGCUUGAUCUCUUUUCAUGGCAUAGCGUGGAUUCUGGCUAGAACUUCCAAUAUUCAUAUACUAGAGGAUUUUUCUAGAAAUAUAUGUAUUGAGAAGUCCCACUGGGCGUGCCAAAUUGUUCAUCCGUUUUAGAUUUGUUCCUGUGAUGGUAGGGUAAAGUUCCUCAUUGACUUGAAAACCAUUGGUGGUCAAUAAGUCAACUUUCUUUUGUGUACAAAUGUGCCACUGCUAGCAAUAAAAACCCUAGCAGACUUCUUAAAAAUAGAAAACUUGUGCCCAAGUUAUUAACUUCUAAAUAAGCGAUUGUGAAUUUGGGCGAGGAAUAUCUCCCAAGUAAGUUCUUUUCUUUGCCUCAGAUUGGUGAGGACUUCACAAUUUUUCACAGUACAAAACUGGUAGUUCUAGCUAGAAUAAAUGAUAAGAAAGUGAACUGUUUUCAGGCAGAACUACCUUUUACAAAGCUUAAAAAGGAAGACCAACUCUAAAAAGACAAAAAGAGCUUUUGGACUUCAAUUUCUGCUUGGAUAAAUGCUUCUGAUCCGGGCUGGACUGGGUAUGUUUGUGCUGGACUGGACUAUCAACACCUUCAACUGUCAAGUUUUAGCUGUCAAUGAAUACCAAUGUUCGAGUGUGGCAAAGCUUCAAUCUAUUUCAAGCCGUGCAAGGCUUUUUGAACGGACAGAAUUGGAACCUCUUCAGUCUGGAAGGGGUAGAAGUGGCUGAAUUUGGUGAUUACUGAGCUGGAACUGCACUGUAGUACCUGUUCUGCUUGAUCAGGGCUCUCCAUAAAUUUGUUGAGGUUUUAAUAUUGGUAAAACCCGAAGCUUAUGUUGAACCAACUUUGUAACGAGAGAAAUCUUGCUUUGAAUGACUAUUUCUCUGAAACUAAACAGAAGUUAGAGAUUCUGGAAUAUAGCUGACUUGUUUCUUAUGGCUCAAUGAGCUUUUGGUUGCUUCAGUGUUUUGAAGGCUUUUGAGAUCAAGUGAUCAUUUUGAGUUUUUAUUUUUGAUUGAUUUUUUGGCUGUCCUUUUAUCUGUUCACCUCAUCUCAUAUUUAUAGAAUAUACUGGAGUGUGAUUUCUAAUCUUUUAAUAAUGGGCGGCAAAUCUUUUAAAAGAUCUUUUUUUCUUUUUUCAAUGUCAUAAGAGAAGGAAGCUACUAUUCUGACAGAGAAAGGUUGUCAACAAUCAUCUUUCAAUUUUUCUAUGUUCACUUUUUGUUCUUUGUAAAGAGAAAGAACACAAUCUACCAUGAUGGUCAGUGUGCUUUUCCUGUUGAACAACUCCCUCGUUCUCUACUUAUCUCUUGAAAACGUAGUCUGCUUAUCUCUUGGAAAGACCACCUGAUUUGGUGCAGAGCUUCUCUAUAUAUAUAUAUAUAUAAAGGGAUUUUGAUCUUCUUCUUUUGGCUGAAAAAAUAGAGAAGUCUUUCUGUAAGACCUGCCUUCAUUAAUUUUCUAUCAACUUCUCUGUAAUAGUUGAAAAUUUUGACUUUUCAAAGCCAGGUAUUCACGUGGGGUUGUUUAGAAAAGAUCUGUUGAUUUUGUCAAUCUUUUAGGGUAGAGAUUAAAUAGCGUAAAAAGGCUGGGCUAGUCUCUUUUUCUUAGUAGAUAAAAAGCCCAAAUAUUUUGUCUCACUGCCCUUUUCUGGAAAAUAAAUGGGCUGGGUGUGUUGGAAAUUGGCCCAAUCUUAAGAAAGACUCUGGUGGCUGCCCAAAAUUGACAUAGGCUUUUCUUGAUUUUGGGCUGGGCAUGCCAAAUUAGGCCCAAACAAUGCCCCUUAAGUCUGAAUUGUUUUUGGAAUAGUUUCAGACUUAAUGAUUUGGCCAUUAAUUUGUGCGCGCCAUUUCCUUCUGUUAGCCCACAUCUGCCACGUCUGCCUAUUAUGAUCAAGACUUCGUGGGAAAGUGGGCAGUUACUAGCUAGUUAUUAUCAGGUGGCGUCUUGUCUUCUUCUUCCCACGAUUUCGAGUCUUUCUAAGAAAUUUAAAAAGACCUCAGCUCCUGUUUACUCAAAACCUAACUUCUUCAGACCUUGAUUUUCCUCAGUUUUCUCAGAAUUUUUACCCUUUUCUGCGAUCAAACCCUGCUUCCUUUCAGUUUGAUUCCCCUAUCCUAGCUCAAAACCCGAAAAUGUCUUCUCCAAAAAAUCGUGCCCAGACUUCUUCUUAUUCUGUUCCUCCUACCUACAUUACUGGGGCCGGUGUUGAUAAGCAUGUGAUUGAAGUCCGGAGCAAGCUUCAUCCUUUUGCCCAGAACGUUCUGGACAAGAACGUGUUACAUUUGUUCGAGAACACUCUUGUUUUGGAGCCUCAUCGGUUUGGUUCUGUCCCGACUGAAAUGGCAGAAUUGUUUAAAGAAUAUACUGAAGCUCCUCUAUGCUUUCAGAGCUCUUUCGUAGAUUUCAGUUUUAUAUAUAAACUAUCGUGUUUCUCCCUAUAACAUGUCGUUUUUAAGAAUUGUUGUCAAUGUUUUAUUUCCUGCUACUAUAAGACGGCGAUUAUUUAUACAUAUGAGACGUGUAAAUUAGAAUGAGACGUCAGUCUUUGGGAUUUAAAUUAAGUUUUUACGAUUUAAUGUCAUUUUAGUUCAUAUAAGGACAUAAAUGUCCUAACCAAAAAUAUAUUUAUGUACAUUGUCAAUAAAUUAAAAUAAACCUAAACAUUGUUAAAAUAAAUUAGAUCACUUAUUAUUCUGUAAUUACUUGUUAACGAAUUCAGCCCAUUCCAACCUGACUUCGUCAAUAUGUUCUUAUACAUACUGAACUGGUUCCUUUUUCUUAUCAAACUGCAAAUAAAUAACAAAAACCAACGUGUUAUAAAGAUUACAACGACUGCUUUUAAAGAAAAAGUUGUGGUACUAAAAUAAAGAAUUUAUAUCUUAAGUUUUGCCUUUUACCUUCUUCUCAAAUGCUAGGCCUGGAUCAUGAAUUAUAUCUCUCAUGAAAUGCAUCACGUAAUAGCCACACUCUACAUUUGUUGGUUGUCGAGGAGUGCCAUGUAGAUUUUUCCAUAUGACUGAUUUACAUGAUGAUUAAUUGCCUGUGUGAGAGUUAUACAUUUUGAUUGAACUGUUUCAAGAAAAUGAAAAGUGUUAAUGAUAAAAAUAAAAAUCUAAAGCAAAAAUAUUAAACGUCGUGGUAAAUAAGUGAAGACGAUGGUUUUGUUAAAAAAGUGAUGUUGUAUUUCAUUUCAAACGUUGGUAAAUAAAAACCGUCGUUGUGUAGAAUUCUAACGUCGGUGACGAUGAAAAAUGACGUAUAACCAAAAAUUGUUUGUAAAUGAAAGUUGAACAGAAAAAAAUAAAACUUCCUUAAAUGAAAAACACAAACGACGUGGUAUUUCAAUUAAAAUGACGGUUUACAGAAAAUACUGACGUUGUAAAUGAUUUCAAACAUCGGUUUGAAGUUACCAUCGUGUUUUCAUUGUAACGUCGGUAUUAGAAAAAGCCGUAUAUCAUUCAAAUGCAAAUAAAAAAAUGUUAGAUUUUCAUAGAUAAACUUACAUAUUCACUAUAUUUCUCAUGUCCUCGUCAACAACGCGGUUUGGCAAUGAAUCCAUGUAAUAGAUAGUCUCCUUCGCUGGUCUCACAAUUAUUAACACCCAAUGACCCCUACACAUAAUGAUCCAUAUAGGUUAAAUAUACUAGAAAGAAAAAUAGGCAUCAAGUAUAGUUAAGGGGACUAACCUUGGAUUACAAGGCACCAUGUAAAAUUGAUCCCCAUUUGCGUUUUUCAGGCGGUCUGAGAGAUGUUUCAAACGGUAAGAUAACGUUCCAGAUUGAGAGCUGACUUGUCCAAGGUCCACGAAGCCAAUAAGGUUUACCAUAUUUUCUAUUUUUAAAUAGUCAAAUAGGCACCUAAAUAUAUGAAAUUCAAUUAAAUGAGAUUUUAACUUUAAAGAAAGGAAAUGUAUAAUGCAAUCACUGUGGAUCCAAUCUCAACCAUGGAAGGAAAUUGUAAAAUAUCUUCACACAAGAGGAAGGUAUCAUGGUUAAUGCCAAAGGCUUCCUCUGGAAUGUGAAUUCUAAUGGUCUCGUUAAUGGGCUUCAACUUGGUCUCGACAAAUUGAAAUAAGGCUAACAGAGGAGGUGGCAUGUCUAGCUUUGAGAGAUCCUGUUACAACAAAUAAAUAAAGAAAUAUAAGUUAGUUUGUACACUAAGUAAAAUAAACGACUCUAACUAAACCAAUCAAACCGACGUGGUAUAUAAUAUAAUCGACAGUUUCUAGAACAUACUGAAGGAGUAAAGGUUAUAGACGACGGUAAAGACAUAACCAUCGUUAUGUAAAUGUUCUAACGUCGCUGCAUUAUGGAAAGGUCGUCUAAUUAAAAUGCAGUGAAGCCUUUAUUGAAAUACACGACAGUUUAUAAAAUAAACACCGACGUAGUAAAAUACUGAGACGACGGUUAUCAGCAACGUCUAUUUGAAAUUAUAAAUCAGAAAAAAUCAAAUAUCAAAGAUUUUACCGUUUCAUCUUGCCAUUGUUUAGCAACAUCAGCAUCAUUCGUGGGAUUUUCUUCCUCCAAAACAAGGGGUCUCACAUUAGAGCAGCUUGCUUUGUCAGACAUUAGAUUUUUUGGAGUAAUUGGAGUUUUAUUGAGCAAGUUGGGAUCACAGUUGGGAAUUAGUUGACUGAAUUGUUUCAAUAAAAUUUCCCUCUCUGCUCUGACUGCCUCCAAAACAGUUUCUUUUGCCUUAGCUUUAAUCUUUUUGGUUUCUUCUCUCACUGCCUCCAUAACACUUUCCUUCAAUUUGUUAGCAAAUUUUACUCUCUGCUGUCUCGACAAAUUGAAGAAUUGAGUUGGGGAAACCCCAGCUCCAACACCUCUAACUCUCCCACCAUGCUCAGGGGUUCCCAAAGCCAAGGUCAAAAUAUCGUUGCUCUCAGAGACAGCAGAGUGCCCUCGGAAACUUGUUUUUUCAAAUCAUCCUAAAAGUGAGAGAGAGAGAGAGAGAAUGUUAGUGAGUGAACAGAUAGUAAAACAGAUUAAAUAAACAACUAUACAAAAAUAUUAACCGACGUGGUAAAGACUUUAAAAAACUGAAAUCAAUCCCCAAUAGUAACAGGGACCAUGCAGCAACGAUUUGGUUGACAGUAGUAUAGGUUGGAGAUGCUGUUGAUCAUUAGAUACUAUUUUUUUAAAUAUCAAUUCUGUAACAUCCAGACCUAAAAAAUUAAUGAUUUUGAUUUAAAAUUAAAUUUAAAUAAGCAAUUACGAAUUUACCCUUGGGGAAGGGGUAUUUUGGUAUUUUUUUUUUAUUCAGAAAGAGUUUGGGGCAGUGACUAGUAUUUUUGGGUAGAUCGUACUGAGACGAAUCCGUAGACACGCGGUAGGCCUGAAUCGGAGUUGUAACGAAGAAACGGUGACCAAAAUUAGUCCAGUGGCAAACUUGUAAAUAUUUUGAACUUGGGUGUAGAAAAAUCUGAAACUGGCUUCCUCUCUCCUGCGUGCACACGUCCUUCUCUCUCUCUCCUCUCUCUCUCCUCGAUACCAUCACUCUCUGUCUCUCUCUUCGAUUCUCUCAAUUCUGGCCACGGCAAGGGCCGGGACUGGUUCCGAUCAACUCCUCACAAAGCCCCGAACCAGAACCACCACUUUUCUUGGCCGGAAAGCUCGAGUUUCGCGUGGUAAUCUCGACUGGUUUGAACCAGUUUUCCUCCGUCAUUGUGCCGCCGCCAUCGCAGCCCAAUCUCGGUUAAACAAGUGAGGUUUCUUACUCUUUUUCCGAGCUCUAGCUGCCUGUUGGGUAGGAUUGGAUUGAUUUUUUGUCUAGGAUCCCGAUUUUGAAACCUAAGUUUUGACGAAUUUCAAAGUGAAAUUCCGGCCGGUUGCCGUCCUAAUUAGACCUCCCCGUAGUUGAAUAAAGUGAUCCUCGCUUCGAGUAGUAGCUAAGGUAGGAAUGGUGAAUUGCGGUGUGGAGUUUUUCCAUCACUGAAAAUUACUCUACACAUCCACGCGUUGCCAGGGCAUGUGGAGGCGCAUGGGCAAUGUGGUGAGACCACAUUUUAUCCUGAUGUAGUCUCCUAGUCCUCACGUGCGCGUAAGUGUGCUCGAAUUUCAAUUCGAAUGUUGUUUGACUAUCGAACGGAUUUAUGCAUAUUGUUUCUUAUCCGGGUUCAAUAUGUUCGGACCAUUGGAUCGAGUCCAAAUUUACGUAUGUUAAUCUAGGCACCCCUAGGAUCAUGUGCGAAUUCGCGGAUCGUGAAUCGGAGCCCCGAAUGUUCCGAUUCAAUAAUUUGAAGUUUAUGGUUUGCGAUAACCGUCAAUUUCUGACCAAACCUACAGGACGUGUUUCCUAAACCCGUAGUCGGACCUUAGAAUACUCGUUAUGCGUGCACGCACCGGGAACUUGAGAAAAUUAGUAUUUAAUUUGUAAAUUCCGUUUUGAAGUGAUUUUUUAUUAAUUAAGGGUGCGUAUCUCGAAAUAGGUGCUCCAUCACUAGCACGCAGCAGGUAGGACCCUCUUGAGGUCAGGCAGUGUGGGACUACUUGUGAGUGGACAUUUAUUUUAUAUAUGCAUUAUUUUCAAUGAUUGAAAGAAUAUGCAUGAAAUAUAUAUAUUUUUUGGAAUAAAGAUUGAGAAAUUCAUAUGUUGUUAUAUCAGUAUUAUUUAAUUUAGAAUUUGGUUUGAUUUGAUGAUGAGUUAUAUAAAGGUCAAGUUAUUCGUGAUUAAGUCUUGGAUGAAUUUUGGGGGAAUCGGGAAUUGAAUAUUAUGGUUUAUGGUGGGAACUUAUAUGAUUACACUGUGUGGAGUACCAUCCCCUAGUUACUAGGCUUCCCACAUGUGGCGUUGGAAAUUUUCCAGCGUGUGAUGAUGUAGUCUGCACGCAUAGGACUUAGUAUUGGAGCUACACGUGGCGUUGGAAUUUCCGGCAUGUAAGCUAUGGAGUUUCGUCCCCCGGUUGGACCGCUCAUCCCUAGACGCAGGAUAGCAACUGAAAAUCUUGCGGGUUAGCCAAACAAUCCCCCGGUUGGAUUGUUUCCCCGGUACCUAAGUAGUGUGAUAAAUAUUAUGUAUAUUUAUAGAUAUAUAUAUUUCUAUGUGUGUGUGUGUGUGUGUGUGUGUGUGUGUGUGAGUAUAAAUCAGUUAAAGUAUAUGUAGUGGUUGGGUAAGAGCAGUAUAAAUUUUGGGGAUAAAGUUUAUGGAUAGAGUGAUUGAUCUCAAAGGGUUUCGGAGAAUGAUGUUUUUGAUCAUUAAAUAAAAGUUAUGAAUCUGCAUGUCUUGAGCAUUAUUUUUAGACGGUGGGGUUAUUAUGUUGUUUUGAAUGCAAAUUUUGUUUUUCCACUCACAUGUUUUCUGUUUUGCGCCCCCCAAACAGUAGUCGCUCAAGGGAGAGUUGCAAGCCAUGUUCGAGGCCCCGAACUGUGAACAUCAGUAGAUUAGGUUUCGAGUAAUUUCUUUCUACUCAACUGGAUGUUCUUGUAAACUAAAUUCGUUAGAUGCUCUAUUAUUGCCCCUGUUAGGUUUUACUUGUGAGGCCAGAGGCCAUUUAGUUUAUACUGUUGAAUAAUAAAUGCAUGCUGCUGGUUGGGAUUAUAUUGUGCUUAUGCAGGUUGAAAUUUUUGGGAUUGUUCAAUUUACAUGGGAGACUCUAGCAAAAUUUUAGUAGAGAGUCUCGGUUUUUAAUAAGUGGGCCAGGCAUCGGGGUAAUGUCGGAAAUAAGACUGGAUUCGUCCCGGUUUCCGAAGAAUUCGAGGCGGGUCCUGUCAAGUUCCUCCUAUUAACAAUAAUAAAUUAAAUAUUUAUAUAACUGAUAACAGUUCCUCAUAUUAACAAUAAUAAAUUAGUAUUUUGUAUAAUAAACAUGUUUAAUGAAAUUCAUCUUCUUCUAGCAUGUUUAUUUAAAUUCUAAGUUUUCUGAAGAAAAAAAAAAAAAAAAAGGAGAAGGAAAUGUCCUAAAUUAAAUCUUAAAAGUUCAUUUUUUUCUGUCCCUAUAUAUUUUUUACCCAAUUAUAAUUUGAGAAAAAAAGGUGAAUUAACUGUCAUUUCACCUUCAUCAUUUUCAUGAUUUAUAUAAGAUUCUUCAAAGAUCAUUUCCACAAAAAAUUACUUAAAUUCGAAUCCAUUUAACCGUCUAAUUAAAUCGUUAGGACCGUUGAAAUAAAAUUUAAAGUGAGUUUAAAGUGAGUCCUACUAUGUCUCCCUCAAAUAAGAUCAUUUACAGGAUCUGUCGAGUCAUAUGAGAAUGUUUAGCUUUUCGAUCCCAAGAGUUUGGUUCGAUUUUCAUAUAUAUAUAUAUAUAUAUAUAUAUAUAUACAAGUCAAUUUACUUUAAAAAGUUCACCAAAUUUUAUUUUUGGUCUCGGUAGUUUGCUUGAGGGCCUUUUUCUGUCAAUCUAUUUGUUGUGAUUGAAAGAUUUUAUAUAAAACAAAAGAUAUGUUUUUAUCUUAAAAAAUGCUUAUUUUCAGAUCUUUACAUAUAGACAUACAUAUGGCCUGAGAAUUCAAGCAAUAAAGACAUAAGCUGAUGAGCAUUCAUAAUCAUUAGAAUGAGUACUGAAUGGUCAACUCUUUCAAAAUACUUCGGAAAAAAACAAAGGACAAUACUUCCUUCCUUACUCAUAAGAAGGAACUCCUUCUCACCUUCUAUUGUCCCUCAACCACAAAGUAACAAGUGUUCUCUUUUUUUAAUUGUCAAUUUUUUUUUUUUCACUUUUACUGAACCCCUAGCUUUUUACCAAAGCAAAAAACACAAAACAAUAUUCCCAUUGUUUUUUUUUUUCAUUUUGAUUUUUUUCUCAACUUUUUGAAAAAUAACAUUUUUCCUUCUUCAGUAAAAAAUUGAAGUCUUUGUGGUUAAAAGCUAAGGUUUCAGUAAAGGUUUAAAAUAAAUAAAAAGUUUUGACAAUUCAAAAAACAGAACACAUAUCACUUUGUGGUUGAGCCGCAAUAGAAAGUAAGAAAGAAUUCCACCUUACCCAUAAGGAGGGAAGUAUUGUCAAAAAGAAAACAUCUUAAAAAACACACAGAAAACCCACCAUCACUACUUAAAAGAAGUAGAGAAGUCCAACAUUCUGAUUUUUAUACACCUACGUGACGUGAGCAUUCAAUAAUCAUCCUACACAUAUGUUGAUGUGAGCAUUCAAAAUCAUUAGAAUGAUUUAAUUGAAGACUCAACGUACGGACGUCUUUUUCACUUAGAUUCCCUUCCUGUACAAACUUGAAUCAGUUCCUCCACGACCCCAUCAAUCUCUUCAUCCUCUUUCUUGUUCACGUUGUCGCUUAUUUUCAAUGCCUUUUUUCUCACUCCCUCUCCAAAUUUCUCCACAACCACAUCUCUAAUCACCUUUGCGACCUCUUCUCUUUGCAAACUUCCUUCACCUGUUCUCUUAACCUCCACACCAACACCCACCUCCUCCACUAGUCUAGCGUUGAUCGGCUGGUCAAGAUGCAUAGGCAUGGCUAUAAUUGGAACACCAAACUUGAUGCUCUCCAACACUGAGUUCCAUCCGCAGUGACUCACAAACCCCCCAACACUAGAAUGCUGCAGUAUCUUUGCCUGUGGGGCCCAACCCUCCAUUAUCACUCCCUUCUCUCCCACCCUCUGUAAAAACCCUUCUGGUAACACCUCUUCAACCCUAGUACUUCUCUCCUCCUUAGAAAAUCUUAUAACCCAAAUGAAGCUCACUUUGCUAAGCUCUAAUCCGUGAGCUAUCUCUUCUAUUUGCUCCUUGGACAGAAAGUACUCACUGCCAAAGCAAACAUACACAACAGAAGACCUUUCCAUUUUGUUCAGCCAUUUCAUGAUCCAUGUUUCCUCAUCAACUUUUUGAUCCAUUGGCUCUUGAACAAGCGUGCCAACAGGCACGAUCUUCUUCCCCGUUAAAUCAGAGAGAUAAUCAAUAUAUUUUUCUUCAAUCUCGCUGGAUGUCUUGACCAAAAUGAUGUUACAAGAUCGAGCACUGCAUUGCUGAACACGGUCUCCGUCUUUGAUGCCAUUUGCUGAAGAUUCCAACAAAUUGUUGAACUUUUCAGCUUCGUAAUGUUGAAGAUAAAUCGAAGGAAAAGGAAACUUGACACUAGGGUUCUUGAGAUGUUGAAUACUAAAUGAAGUAAAGGCAGCACCCAUGGUGGUGAAUUCAAUGGAUGGAAAAUUUUGCAAUGAAGCUAGAGAGGGCGCCCAUGGUUGAAGAACAUCAUAUAUGAGCAAAUCUGGACUUAGGGUUUUGAGGAUGUUGGAGAAGUUGUUGCUGGACAUGCUGAAAGCCGUUUUGAGAGUGGACAUGAGAUGGGGAGGGAGGCCAUUGGUGGUGUGGUAGUGCGGUGGGAGUUCAGGCAAGUCAUCAUGUGGAAGAUGGAGUUCCACAAAUUCAAUGCAAUGAGAAUAUUUUUGGGAGAGUUUAGGCUUGAUGGAGCUGAGAUUUACAGGCGUGGAACAAAUAAAGAUGUGAAAAUUUCUCUUGGUGGUCAGCUUCUUGGCUAGCUCUAGGUAGGGAGAUAUAUGGCCGUGAGCUAGCCAUGGAAGCAAAAGAAUAGUAAGGCUUCUUUGGUCAGAGAAAACCAUAUUUUGUUUUCCUUUGACUUGUUUUCCUUUGACUCUUUUGCUUGAGGUUGCUCGAUUAUAGGCUUAUUGGUAGUUUGUUUGUGGCUAGCUCUAUGCAUAUAUAUAUAUAUAUAUAUAUAUAUAUAUAUAUAUAUAUACACACACAAAAACGCGUGAUGAUUGGAACAUGCACACGUAAGUUCCAGAGAGUGAUGAUUGGCCUAUGAUAAAGACUCGAAACAAGAAUAGUUUAAAUUUUCUUCUUUGUUUGGCUUGAUAUAAGACGAAUGCACCAAACAAACCGACUAAAUGCCGACACAAUAAUUAGGUACGUAAUAAUAUCAACUUUCAUUAUAUAGAUCUGAGAAACAAAAAGUUGAACUUUGAUGACAAGCGAUAUUAAGGAAGGGCACAAUCGAACUUAGGAUCUCGAAUGUUGAAGUACAUGCUCUUAACAACUUGAGCUAUAAGGUAUUUGUAAUGACAAUUUAUGGUUUUAAUUAUACUUUUGAAUAGUUGCUUCCUUCUCUUUCAUUUUUAUUUUUAUUUGUUUAUAUUUAACUCUAAUUUUAUUUAUAUUUCUGGUCAAGGUAUAAAGACUUUGAAUCUCUCUCCAAUUAUUUUUCACAGCCGAAACUCCUUUAGUUUCCACAAAUCUUUUUAAACAUUUCAGGCAUAUGUAUGUUUCCGAGUCGGAUGGUUCACGUAACCAAGAAAUUUAAACUUGUUUUUGUUUGUUCCUCCGAAGAAAGCACAACAAAAGGACAACCUACAACCAAUACUUCUCAUUGAAUUUGUUGCCGUGAAUGAUUAGGACUCUGCCCAAACUAGUAGUUGCGUUUCUGAAUUGUUUGAAAACACAUAUCAAAUUAUGAUUUCUCCUCCCCGAAAGAAAAAUUGACGUAGAAGUAUCAUGAUCUUGAUGACACAAAUUAGAAUCUAGGGUUUUCGAAGUGCCUAAUGGACAACUACUUAUUUAGAAAUAUAUAUAUUUUUGUGGCUAAAAUUUAAAUUUAUUAUAUAUAUUCUCAAUGCAGAAACACAUAAAUCUAAGUUCGAAUUCAUCCUUUUUUUGUUUUUUUUUUUUUGUUUUUUUAACCCAGAAGAAAAAUUGAGUCCCACUCUGCUGUGUAGAAUGCGCGUUUAGUAUAGAUUUUUUUAUUUUUGAGUCUCUUAUCUGGUUCCCGAGCUUCUACAUUUAGGUCUCGUGUAUUUAUCUGCAUUUUCUUAAAUCUAAAUCACUCAAACAAUCUAACCACUUAACAAAUGACACGUACUCAAACUUAAAAUCAGAAUGGAUGGAGUAGAGGCUUACACCGAUGAUUCUUGGUCAAGACUUGAGAGACAGAUGGAGACGAGGCAUGACAUAAAGUCUGAAGAAGAGAAACGAGGAAGCUUCAUUUAGAUGGUGGUGUAAGUGCAUACGUAAAGUCCAGAUUCAACAGGAAAGCAUCUUAAACGUAAAGAAAAUAAGUUUACCAGAAGCAAAAGAGAUACUGAAGUAAUUGUUUAUCAACUGAACUUAAACGAAAUAUUAACUCUUUGUUGUGCCAUAAGCACAAGAUCUUAUGAAAAAAAAUUCAAGAUAAACCAUAUAAUAUUGGGAGAUUCACGUUUAUACCGAAUAUAGGAAUUCAAAUUAUAAAAUAAAUAAAUAAAUAAAAUAAUCGAUAUGAAAUGGACUUUAGAAACACACACAAAGCCUAUUUACAACAUAACAAAAAGGUUUUUCCCUUCUUUUAAAUUACAAAACUGCCAUUGAUUUCUUAAAACAAACCCAACUCCAAAACCUCAUUAAAAAAGCACAAAACACUCAAUAGGGUGUCAAAGUAAUUUAAUAAUAAAAAAUAAAUUCAAUAAGGCCAAUUGAAUUUUUUGGAUUUUUUUUUGGGUUUGUUUAUAGAAAUUAAUGGUGUAGGGUUUAUCUAUAUUAUUGGUGUUAAGAAUGAAUAAUGACUAAAUAUCUCUAUAAUAUUUUCUAACUCACAAAAUAAUAUAGAAAAUAAAUGCAAGAACAAGAAAAUAGCAAUAUGCAAUUUAACGAAGCUGCUUACAAUCAGUGCAAAUGAGCAAACAAAUUCGCUAUUAAUUUAUGAAGUGUUUUUGUAUUUACAAUACCGCCUCUUGAAUGUCCACCAUACAAUAAUAUAGUUGCAUCAUUAAAAACUUUACUUGAAAAAUCGUUUGGGACAAAACUUAAGCUAAGAGAAAAAGAGUGCAACACAAAUGAUAUUGACAUCACAUAUGUCUCUCCUACAGAGUGAGCUUUGGUGAUGCUUGUAUAAAAAUUGCUUUCACAUCAUUAUUGGGAGAUGUAUGUAUGUCAUCAAUCAUUUGAAUCUUGUUGAGGUUAAAGUAAAACCAAAAAAAUAUCAAGGGCCAUUUUCAUAUAGUUUUUCACAAUAAAAAUUAACAAAAUAACUUCAUGUUCUUUAAUAUCAUCAAAAAAAUAAUAUAAACAAACUCAUAGUUUACCUUUUCAAUGAUAAGUGUUUGGAAAAUUUACAUGGAAUAAUAUUUGGUAUGCUAUGCUAGCAUCUCAUAAGCUCUUCAAGAGACCUAAAUUUUAUGAUAACUUCUUAAAAAAAUUUGAAUACUUUUCAACAAUAUUAAACUUGAAUUCAAACUCAUAAUUCAAUCAAAGUACUCAUUGAGGCAAUUUAGAUCAUUUUCAUUUUAAGAAAAUUGGGUGCAUACAUUGAGCUUCAUGCCCUUUACCUUCUUAGAGAUUUUCUUCGAGCAAUUUAUAUUGCAUGACAGAUUAUAUCUCUUAGAAUUUGUUCUUAUGUAUUCUUCAAGAGAUCUCUUCUUGCAAUAUGCUUCAAACACUUCAUAAUCUUUAUAGAUUUUUCAUGUAGAUUUAAGGUCUCCAUGAAUAUUGAGAUUGAAACAAGGAGUAAAAUAAAAGUUUAAGAAAAAUUUUCCCUGAUUAUUUUGUAAUUAUAAUGUUGGUGAAAACCUAAUUUCCUUUCUGAAAUUUGUGAAAUUUGUUAUUUGGCUAAGCUAAAAGUAUAAUAUUGACAAUAAAACGUAUACGAAAGUUUCUCUUUGGCUGGCUUCUUGGCUGGCUCUAGGAAGGGACAUUGCGGCCAUGAGAUAACCAUAGGAAGCAUAAUAAGAAUGCUUGGAUGCUCUGAACAAUCCAUUUUCUGACUCUUUUUCUUGAGGCGGUUGUUUUCUUAGGCCCAUCAGAGUUUAUGGUCGACAGAUAAGCUUCAAACACAUGCAUUGGUCGUGUCAGUUGCGAUAAACUCUUCCCAACAAUCUGAGACUCACAUCACUCCAAACACAUAAAAAGAAGUGGAAAUUUGCUAUUCUUUGUCUUUGUUUGGACAGCUAAUAGCAAAGCAUUGGAAACAUCGAAAAAAGAAAGUUAAUUAAUUUAAGAAAAACAAAGAAAUCCUUCUUUUUUUUUCUUUUUUUUUUCAGCAAACCGAAACAUAAAAUCCGAAAAAGAAGAAGGCAUGUCCAAAAUUACAUCUUGAAUUUAUUUUGGAGAUUCACUAUUAUACUCAAAUUAUAUAUGAAAUAAAUUUUAGAAACACACAUGACGCCAAUUUACAAUAUAACAAAAAAACUUUUAACUUCUUGUAAAUUACAAAAUUGUUAUCGAUUUCUUAAAACAAGCCUAAUCCUAAAACCUCAUAAAAAAAAAAUCAAAACACUCAAUAAGGCAUCAAAGUAAUUUAAUAAUUAAAAUUAAAUUUAAUAGGGUCAUCUGUCAUUUUUUGGAUUUUUUUCGAAGUUGUUUAUAAAAAUUAAAAUAAUGUAUAGUUUGUUUAUAAAAAUUAAAUGAUGUAGAGUUUCUUUAUAUAAUUAAUGUUAAUAAUGAGUAUAUGAAUAAAUGUCACUUUUCUUUAUUAACCAUUUAUAAUAUAUGAACUCAAGACUUCCUAUCGAACACCGAAUGGUCUUUCCAUUCCUUGUUAAUUCAAAGUCUGAAAAUGUUCGGUGUCAGCUCAUGAAUUUAAAGGCUUAAAGGCUCAAAACUUGAACGAAUAUGAAAGAAAAAAGUCGUUCACCGUUCAUCCUCUUCCUGCAGCUGUGCAUGCUAAUCACCCACUGAAUUAAACAUACAAAUACGCUUUAUGUUUUCUCAAAUUGUUCUUUGAACUAAGUAGAGGUUGGAAUACACUCGGGGUCAACAUUGUUCAAAUACAAAACACUUCUUAAUUUUAUAUUUUAUCAAAACAGAUCGAAACUUCAUUCAAACUGAGAACCUAGAUUACAAAACUACCAGAAAAACUGGAAUCUGCACUGUGGCCUCAUUAAAACCUUGCUUUAAAAAACUCCUAAAAGAGGAGAAUUCAGUCAAGAAAAAAGAGUACCACAGCAAGUGAAAUCCGAUAUCAUACUUCAUUCCUUUCUCAUACAAAGUUGAAUCAACUGCUCUACCACCCCAUCUAUCUCUUCAUCCUCUCUCUUUUUCAUGUUGUCUCUCAAUUCCAUUGCCUUUCUUUUCAAACCCUGUCCAUUUUCUUCCACCACCACAUCUCUGAUUACUUUUGCUAUCUCGUCCCUUUUCAGCCUCCCGUUCUCGUUGCCGCCUCCUCCCAUUCUCUUAACCUCCACACCAACUCCAACGUCCUCUACUAUUCUAGCGUUAAUAGGCUGGUCAAGAUGCAUAGGCAUGGCUACAAUUGGAACGCCAAACUUGAUGCUCUCCAACACUGAGCUCCAUCCACAGUGGCUCACAAACCCACCAGCACUAGAAUGCUUCAAUACUUUUGCCUGUGGAGCCCAACCAUCCACUAUUAUUCCCUUCUCCCCCACCCUCUCAAAAAACCCUUCUGGUAAUACCUCUUCAACCCUAGUACCUUUCUCUUCCUUAGGAAAUCUUAUAACCCAAAUAAAACUCACUUUGCUAAUCUCUAGCCCAUGAGCUAUCUCUUCUAUUUCCUCCUUGGAUAAAAAGUACUCACUGCCGAAGGAAACAUACACCACCGAAGAUCUUUCUCUAGUGUUUAGCCACUUCAUGAUUUUUGUUUCCUCCGAAUCCACUUCUUGCUCUAUAAGGUCUUGAACAAGUGAACCAACAGGCACAAUCUUCUUCCCAAUUAGAUCAGAGAGAUAAUCAAUAUAUUUUGCUUCAAUCUCUCUAGAACUCUUAACUAAUACGAUCUUACAAGAACGAUCGCUGCACUGCUUAGCACGGUCUCCAUCACUGAUGCCAUUUGAUGAAGAUUCUAACAACAUCUUGAUCUUACUAGUCUCGUAAUAGAUUGAAGGAAACGGAAAUUUGACACCAGGUUUCUCGCCAUGGUGGGUACAAACUGACAUCAUGGCAGCACUGGUUGUGAAGAACUCGAUGGCUGGAAUGUUUUGUAACAAAGCUAGAGAGGGUGCCCAUGGUUGAAGAAAAUCAUAAAUUAGCAAAUCCGGGUGUAGGGUUUUGAGGAUGUUGGAGAAGUUAGGGCUUGCCCUGUCGAAGGCGGUUUUGAGAGUGGACAUGAGGUGGGGUGGGAGGCCAUUGGUAGUGUGGUAAUGAGGUGGGAGUUCAGGCAAGUCGUCAUAUGGAAGAUGUAGUUGCACGAGUUCAAUGCAACGAGAGUAUUUUUCAGAGAGUUGUGGCUUGAUGGAUCUGAGAUUUACAGGUGUGGAACAAAAAUAGAUGUGAAAAUUUCUGUUGGUCAGCUUCUUUGCUAGCUCUAGGUAGGGAGAUAUGU